rnacentral:tRNA from 1 species
AAUCCGUCGACUUUCGAAAUCGUGAGGGUUCAAGUCCCUCUAUC